AACACAACACAAUCUUCAUCAACACACAAACCAACAAGAACAACAAUGACUUUCAGCAUCAUCUUCAUCUGGACGCUCACAGUGUUUGCUCAAGAGUGUAGAGGACAGUACACUGUUACUCAGAGUCCAUCAACAACAGCAGUUCAACCAGGACAACAUGUUCAAAUAAAGUGUAAAGUCAGCAGUGCAGUAUACACAGAUAGCCAUGGUCCCCGAAUGAGCUGGUACUUACAGAAACCUGGAGAAGCUCCUAAACUCCUCAUAUAUCUCGCAACAAGCCGCCAGUCUGGAGUAUCAUCUAGAUUCAGUGGCAGUGGAUCAAACACAGAUUUUACUCUGAGCAUCAGUGGAGUUCAGACUGAAGAUGCAGGAGAUUAUUACUGUCAGAGUUUUCACAGUGGCAGUACCUAUGUGUUGACACAGUGAUAAAGAGUCGUACAAAAACCUCCGUCAGUCAGACUGAACAGUGACUGCACUGACACACUUCACACAUACUGCAGCUGCUCAUACAACACAAUGACUUGAUGUAGCAACAUUCUUUCAAUUAGACUUUUUUAUUACAAUUACUACAGUUUGUAAUUAAUUUAAAAAAAUGUUUUAUUUAUUUAUUUACUGGUUAAUUUUUGAUCAAUGUAAAAUCUUGUCAGUUAUUUAUUGUCUGUCUUCGUUCGUUUAUUUCUUCCUUUUUUCUCUCUUGUUACCUUCCAUUUAAAACACUCGUAAAAUAAUGACACGUGAAUGUAGUUCAACAUCUCUAAAUAAAUAACAACAUAUUCUAUGAUCACUACAUAGUUGAGGCUCUAAAUGAGAUUUUUUUAAAUAUAUAAUUUACUCUACCUGCAGGUGUUGUUCAUGGUUUAUUGAGUGGCAUUCAUUUAUUAAAUGUGAGCUGAUGUUCUGGGCCACGUUUCCCAAAUCCUUCUUAUCGCUAUGCCGUUCUUACGUUAUACCUUAACCUGCACCUUAUCGUCAAUGUGUGUUUCCUGAAACCUUCUCAGCUACACUCAUUUCACAAUUAAAUAAAAUCCAUGGUUGGUUUUAGUUUGCAAUUUGGUUUAUUUGUAUCCUAUGAGUCCUAAUAAAUGCAGCUUCAACUAUUUAAAUUAUCAGUAAUAAAGACAAAACUGAAGUCAUUGUAUUUGGUAACAAGGAUGAAACUAACUAGGUAAACACGUACCUUGACUUAAGAGGUCUAAAGACACAAAGUAAGAUAAAAAAUCUUGGUGUCAGUUUAGAGUCUGACCUUAGUUUCAGCAGUCAUGCCAAAGCAAUAAGCAAAUCAGCCUACUAACAUCUCAGAAACAUAACCAGAAUCAGUUGUUUUGUCUCAAACCAAGAUUUAGAGAAACUAGUUCAUGCUUUCAUCACCAGCAGGGUGGAUUACAGUAAUGGACUCCUUACACAUCUUCCCAAGAAGACCGUCAGACAGCUGCAGCUCAUACAGAACGCUGCUGCCAGGAUUCUGACCAGAACCAAAAAGUCAAGGGUUCACUCAAAACAAGGCGAGUCAGCGUUUAGCCAUUACGCCACCUGUAGCUGGUCAGAUGUUCACCAACAGUAGCUUUUAAAUC